rnacentral:rRNA from 1 species
CCUACGGGAGGCUGCAGUGGGGGAUAUUGCACAAUGGGGGGAACCCUGAUGCAGCGACGCCGCGUGGGUGAAGAAGCGCCUCGGCGCGUAAAGCCCUGUCAGCAGGGAAGAAAAUGACGGUACCUGACGAAGAAGCCCCGGCUAACUACGUGCCAGCAGCCGCGGUAAUACGUAGGGGGCAAGCGUUAUCCGGAUUUACUGGGUGUAAAGGGGGCGCAGACGGCGAUGCAAGCCAGGAGUGAAAGCCCGGGGCCCAACCCCGGGACUGCUCUUGGAACUGCGUGGCUGGAGUGCAGGAGGGGCAGGCGGAAUUCCUGGUGUAGCGGUGAAAUGCGUAGAUAUCAGGAGGAACACCGGUGGCGAAGGCGGCCUGCUGGACUGCAACUGACGUUGAGGCCCGAAAGCGUGGGGAGCAAACAGGAUUAGAUACCCGAGUAGUC